UACGUAGGGUGCGAGCGUUGUCCGGAAUUAUUGGGCGUAAAGAGCUCGUAGGCGGCUUGUCGCGUCGGAUGUGAAAGCCCGGGGCUUAACUCCGGGUCUGCAUUCGAUACGGGCAGGCUAGAGUUCGGUAGGGGAGAUCGGAAUUCCUGGUGUAGCGGUGAAAUGCGCAGAUAUCGGGAGGAACACCCGUAGCGAAGGCGGCACUCUGGGCCGGUACUGACGCUGAGGUGCGAAAGCGUGGGGAGCAAACAGG
rnacentral:rRNA from 1 species